UACGGGGGGGGCGAAGCGUUGUUCGGAAUUACUGGGCGUAAAGGGCUCGUAGGCGGCCAACUAAGUCGGACGUGAAAUCCCCAGGCUCAACCUGGGAACUGCGUCCGAUACUGGAUGGCUUGAAUUCGGGAGAGGGAUGCAGAAUUCCAGGUGUAGCGGUGAAAUGCGUAGAUAUCUGGAGGAAUACCGGUGGCGAAGGCGGCAUCCUGGACCGACAUUGACGCUGAUGAGCGAAAGCUAGGGGAGCAAACGGG
rnacentral:rRNA from 1 species